rnacentral:rRNA from 1 species
GAUGAACGCUGGCGGCGUGCCUAAUACAUGCAAGUCGAGCGAACAGAUAAGGAGCUUGCUCCUUUGACGUUAGCGGCGGACGGGUGAGUAACACGUGGAUAACCUACCUAUAAGACUGGGAUAACUUCGGGAAACCGGAGCUAAUACCGGAUAACAUAUUGAACCGCAUGGUUCAAUAGAGAAAGGCGGCUUUGCUGUCACUUAUAGAUGGUUCCGCGCCGUAUUAGCUAGUUGGUAAGGUAACGGCUUACCAAGGCAACGAUACGUAGCCGACCUGAGAGGGUGAUCGGCCACACUGGAACUGAGACACGGUCCAGACUCCUACGGGAGGCAGCAGUAGGGAAUCUUCCGCAAUGGGCGAAAGCCUGACGGAGCAACGCCGCGUGAGUGAUGAAGGUCUUCGGAUCGUAAAACUCUGUUAUCAGGGAAGAACAAAUGUGUAAGUAACUGUGCACAUCUUGACGGUACCUGAUCAGAAAGCCACGGCUAACUACGUG